rnacentral:rRNA from 1 species
UACGUAGGGUGCAGGCGUUAAUCGGAAUUACUGGGCGUAAAGCGUGCGCAGGCGGUUCGUUAAGUUCGUUGUGAAAGCCCCGGGCUCAACCUGGGAACUGCAAUGGAAACUGGCGGGCUUGAGUGUGGCAGAGGGGGGUGGAAUUCCGCGUGUAGCAGUGAAAUGCGUAGAGAUGCGGAGGAACACCGAUGGCGAAGGCAGCCCCCUGGGCCAACACUGACGCUCAGGCACGAAAGCGUGGGAAGCAAACAGG